rnacentral:rRNA from 1 species
UAGCCGUAAACGAUACUCGCUAGGUGUCGGCCACGGUGCGACCGUUGUCGGUGCCGUAGGGAAGCCGUGAAGCGAGCCACCUGGGAAGUACGGCCGCAAGGCUGAAACCUAAAGGAAUUGGCGGGGGAGCACCACAACGGGUGGAGCUUGCGGUUUAAUUGGACUCAACGCCGGGAAGCUCACCGGAUAAGACAGCGGAAUGAUUGCCGGGCUGAAGACCCUGCAUGACCAGCUGAGAGGUGGUGCAUGGCGUAGUCGUGU